GGACAUAGGGAAAGAUUAGCAUGGCUGCAACCAUGGCAAGACACCCACCAUGCGUGGACUUACAAGUUGCAGCAGCUUCACUUGGUUGUCAACGACAUAUCGAGCAUAAAAUAGAUAGCCAGCUGCAAGCAUUGCUCCUCCCCGCACAACAGAACAAACUUUUGCAACGUGCCCUUUUCUGCUCUGCCCAAUUCCAGCCAUCCCUCCAUCUACCUGUUGAACUUGCUGACCCAUGUGUUUGAGGAGUUGCAACGGAUUUGAUGAGGGAAGUCUACAAUGCAGACCGUGCUAAGUGUACCCGCUCCAGAUUUUAUCGACAGUAAAUGGUCCACUGCUAUUGACAGCGCAAUUACUACAAGUUCAUCAUGUCCACUGCCCAUCCAUGAAUUUUUUUAUCAUUGUUAUUCACAUUGCAAUACACGGGCACAUAGUAGGAGUAAUAUGUGUGCGAUGGUGGGUGCUGGAGGGCCAUCCCCUUGAGGACGUGGACAAGGUGCGUGUGUGCACAACGCCACGUCAUGUCUUACCACGUCGACCAGCCAAUGACCAUCAUCGGACAUGCUCUUCUCCUGGACGCCGCUGGGAAGAAGCCUGUCUCUAUUGAUUCGUUUGCGCCCGUCACUAAUGCACAUGGAGUCGCGGUGAGAAUUUUUCAUGGGUGUGACACAAACUACUCGAUUUUAAACUAAUUUCUGUGCAUAUCAAUGUAGCAAAGUAUGUGUGUUUCAGAAAUUUUAUUUUUUAUUUUUUGAAGUAUGACAAUGCUUUUCUAUUGUUUAGGUAGA